rnacentral:rRNA from 1 species
AGUGAACGCUGGCGGUAGGCCUAGCACAUGCAAGUCGAACGGCAGCACAGUAAGAGCUUGCUCUUACGGGUGGCGAGUGGCGGACGGGUGAGGAAUACAUCGGAAUCUACUUUUUCGUGGGGGAUAACGUAGGGAAACUUACGCUAAUACCGCAUACGACCUACGGGUGAAAGCAGGGGAUCUUCGGACCUUGCGCGAUUGAAUGAGCCGAUGUCGGAUUAGCUAGUUGGCAGGGUAAAGGCCCACCAAGGCGACGAUCCGUAGCUGGUCUGAGAGGAUGAUCAGCCACACUGGAACUGAGACACGGUCCAGACUCCUACGGGAGGCAGCAGUGGGGAAUAUUGGACAAUGGGCGCAAGCCUGAUCCAGCCAUACCGCGUGGGUGAAGAAGGCCUUCGGGUUGUAAAGCCCUUUUGUUGGGAAAGAAAAGCAGCAGGUUAAUACCCCGCUGUUCUGACGGUACCCAAAGAAUAAGCACCGGCUAACUUCGUG